rnacentral:rRNA from 1 species
GACGAACGCUGGCGGCGGGCUUAACACAUGCAAGUCGAACGGAAAGGCCCUGCUUUUGUGGGCUGCUCGAGUGGCGAACGGGUGAGUAACACGUGAGUAACCUGCCCUUGACUUUGGGAUAACUUCAGGAAACUGGGGCUAAUACCGGAUAGGAUCUCCUGCUCCAUGGUGGGGGUUGGAAAUUUUCGGCUGUCGGGGAUGGACUGGCGGCUUAUCAGCUUGUUGGUGGGGUAGUGGCUUACCAAGGCUUUGACGGGUAGCCGGCCUGAGAGGGUGACCGGCCACAUGGGGACUAAGAUACGGAGCAGACUCCUAUGGGAGGCAGUGGUGGGGAAUAUUGCACAGUGGGCGGAAGCCUGAUGAAGAAACCCCGCGUGCGGAAAGACGGCCUGUGGGUUGAAAAAAGCUUUAGCCUGUGACGCAGCGUGAGUGACGGUAAUGAGUAAAGAAGCACCGGCUAACUACGUG